rnacentral:rRNA from 1 species
CAGCCGCCGCGGUAAUACGGAGGGUGCAAGCGUUAAUCGGAAUUACUGGGCGUAAAGCGCACGCAGGCGGUCUGACAAGUCAGAUGUGAGAUCCCCGGGCUUAACCUGGGAACUGCAUUUGAAACUGUCAGGCUGGAGUCUUGUAGAGGGGGGUGGAAUUCCAGGUGUAGCGGUGAAAUGCGUAGAGAUCUGGAGGAAUACCGGUGGCGAAGGCGGCCCCCUGGACAAAGACUGACGCUCAGGUGCGAAAGCGUGGGGAGCAAACAGGAUUAGAUACCCCUGUAGUCCCUGUCUCUUAUAC